CUAGAGAACUGUCCCUUAGAUAAAGUCACUGAAGAACUGGAGUGGUGGAGAAUCAAAGUCAAGAAGCAGAAGGCAGCUUGUAACUGCAGGAGCAGAAGAGAGUUCAUAACAGUUUCCACAGACUGUUCUUCAAAUCUGACACCACCUCCACUGACAUCAUUUGCCAUGCUUUGGCUGCAGAUUCCCUUUCACAUACUUGCAUCUCUCAAUUAAGAUACACACCUUUUUUGUUUUCCUCUAAAUUUUGCCCUACAAUACAUAAAAAUGUGUUUAUUGGAGAUUAAAAAAGAAAUCACUGAAUAAAAGUGGCAGAUCAGACCGUAUCUGUGAUGUCUUCAGGUUUGUUUUUUUAAACUGAUUUUGCUCAUGCAGCUUAUGUGCAGCCAUUCUUAUUUCUGCUAGGAGGUGCAGCUGACUACUUCAAACUGUACUUCAAUAUCUUGGCUCCACAAAAGUCAACAAUCAGUGGCAAAACUUAUUCAAGAACACCAAAAGCAUGUACCUGCAUAGAGAAUAG
ensembl:lncRNA